rnacentral:lncRNA from 1 species
CGGCUGAUGGUGUUUUGGAACUGCCUCCACUGACCUGUGAUCUGAACUGCUGAUGUCCUGACAAUGCAGGAGGCACCCGACCACAUCCAACAAACAAUCCAGGGAACAAAAUGCACCUGAGGUAAAGAUUUCUCUGCCCUUUUUCCUGGAGCCUCUCUCACCGUUACCCAGGGUCUUGUUCACCAUGGGUCAUUCCUUUGACCAUUUUCCAACAAACCCUGCCCCAACCAAAUCCCAGCUGCGGGGAAAACAGAAAAUACAAACACCUGCUGAGUGGUCUUGGUCAACUUGACACAAACUAGAGUCACCCGGGAAGAGUGACUCAAGUAAGGGAUUUCCUCCAUCAAAUUGGCCCGCGGAAGUGUCUGGGGGCAUCAGUGAUUAGUGAUUCAUCUGGGAAGACUCAGCCCCCUGCGGGUGAUUAUCACUCCUUGGUAGGUGGGCUUGGGUGGUAUAAGCGCAGGAUGAAUAAGCCAUGGGGAAUAAGCCAGUAAGCCGUGUUUCUUCGUGUUCUUUGCUUGUUCCUGCCUUAAGGUUCCUGCCUUGGACUGUGCCUCAGUGGCACAGAUGGGCUGUAAUCCAUAAGCUAACAUAGCUCCCUGUUUGCAGUACGUGCAAGUCAGUGCUUUAUCAAAGCCACAAAGAAUGCACAGCACACCUGUGUCAUUUCUCAUCAAACUUCAUCUUUUACCUUGAUUUUAAUUCUGAGCCCUCUACACCCUUUGGGUUUUUUUUUUUUUUUCCCAAUAAAAUUGGAACUAGUGGGGAAGGAAAUGGGGAACCAAAGAGGGGCCCUAGACUUUACAUGGGCUCCUGCUGGGUUCAGGGAAGCCCCAGGCAAGGGAAAGAAGGAAUUCACAGAACUCCA